rnacentral:rRNA from 1 species
UACGUAGGGUGCAAACGUUGUUCGGAAUCACUGGGCAUAAAGAGCGCGUAGGCGGUCUGACAAGUCCCCUGUGAAAGCCCCCGGCCUUAACCGGGGAACUGCAUGGGAUACUGUUGGGCUAGAGUGCAGGAGGGGAGAGCGGAAUUCCUGGUGGAGCGGUGAAAUGCGUAGAUAUCAGGAGGAACGCCGGCGGCGAAAGCGACUCUCUGGCCUGUAACUGACGCUGAGGCGCGAAAGCUAGGGGAGCAAACGGG